rnacentral:rRNA from 1 species
CCUACGGGCGGCUGCAGUGGGGAAUAUUGCACAAUGGGCGCAAGCCUGAUGCAGCCAUGCCGCGUGUGUGAAGAAGGCCUUCGGGUUGUAAAGCACUUUCAGCGGGGAGGAAGGCGGUGAGGUUAAUAACCUCAUCGAUUGACGUUGCCCGCAGAAGAAGCACCGGCUAACUCCGUGCCAGCAGCCGCGGUAAUACGGAGGGUGCAAGCGUUAAUCGGAAUUACUGGGCGUAAAGCGCACGCAGGCGGUCUGUCAAGUCGGAUGUGAAAUCCCCGGGCUCAACCUGGGAACUGCAUUCGAAACUGGCAGGCUAGAGUCUUGUAGAGGGGGGUAGAAUUCCAGGUGUAGCGGUGAAAUGCGUAGAGAUCUGGAGGAAUACCGGUGGCGAAGGCGGCCCCCUGGACAAAGACUGACGCUCAGGUGCGAAAGCGUGGGGAGCAAACAGGAUUAGAUACCCGAGUAGUC